rnacentral:rRNA from 1 species
AUACGGAGGGUGCAAGCGUUAAUCGGAAUUACUGGGCGUAAAGCGCUCGUAGGCGGCUUGUAAAGUCGGAUGUGAAAUCCCCGGGCUCAACCUGGGAACUGCAUUCGAUACUGGCAGGCUCGAGUAUAGUAGAGGCAAGUGGAAUUUCGGGUGUAGCGGUGAAAUGCGUAGAUAUCCGAAGGAACAUCAGUGGCGAAGGCGACUUGCUGGACUAAUACUGACGCUGAGGAGCGAAAGCGUGGGGAGCAAACGGGAUUAGAAACCCCAGUAGUCC